rnacentral:tRNA from 1 species
UGGGGUAUAGCUCAGUGGUAGAGCAUGCACUUAGUACAUAUGAAGAUCUGGGUUCAAUCCCCAGCACCAAAA